rnacentral:rRNA from 1 species
AAUGAACGCUGGCGGCAUGCCUAACACAUGCAAGUCGAACGAAGGCUUCGGCCUUAGUGGCGCACGGGUGCGUAACGCGUGGGAAUCUGCCCUUGGGUUCGGAAUAACAGUUAGAAAUGACUGCUAAUACCGGAUGACGUCGUAAGACCAAAGAUUUAUCGCCCAAGGAUGAGCCCGCGUAGGAUUAGCUAGUUGGUGGGGUAAAGGCCUACCAAGGCGACGAUCCUUAGCUGGUCUGAGAGGAUGAUCAGCCACACUGGGACUGAGACACGGCCCAGACUCCUACGGGAGGCAGCAGUGGGGAAUAUUGGACAAUGGGCGAAAGCCUGAUCCAGCAAUGCCGCGUGAGUGAUGAAGGCCUUAGGGUUGUAAAGCUCUUUUACCCGGGAUGAUAAUGACAGUACCGGGAGAAUAAGCUCCGGCUAACUUCGUG